rnacentral:rRNA from 1 species
GCCUGAUGCAGCAACGCCGCGUGAGGGACGAAGGCCUUCGGGUUGUAAACCUCUUUUAGCAGGGAAGAAGCGCAAGUGACGGUACCUGCAGAAAAAGCACCGGCUAACUACGUGCCAGCAGCCGCGGUAAUACGUAGCGUGCAAGCGUUGUCCGGAAUUAUUGGGCGUAAAGAGCUCGUAGGCGGUUUGUCGCGUCUGCUGUGAAAAUCCGAGGCUCAACCUCGGACCUGCAGUGGGUACGGGCAAACUAGAGUGCGGUAGGGGAGAUUGGAAUUCCUGGUGUAGCGGUGGAAUGCGCAGAUAUCAGGAGGAACACCAAUGGCGAAGGCAGAUCUCUGGGCCGUAACUGACGCUGAGGAGCGAAAGCGUGGGGAGCGAACAGGAUUAGAUACCCUGGUAGUCCACGCCGUAAACGGUGGGAACUAGAUGUGGGGUCCGUUCCACGGAUUCCGUGUCGCAGCUAACGCAUUAAGUUCCCCGCCUGGGGAGUACGGCCGCAAGGCUAAAACUCAAAGGAAUUGACGGGGGCCCGCACAAGCGGCGGAGCAUGCGGAUUAAUUCGAUGCAACGCGAAGAACCUUACCAAGGCUUGACAUAUAGAGGAAAGGUGCAGAAAUGUACCCCCCGCAAGGUCUCUAUACAGGUGGUGCAUGGUUGUCGUCAGCUCGUGUCGUGAGAUGUUGGGUUAAGUCCCGCAACGAGCGCA